rnacentral:rRNA from 1 species
CGCUGGCGGCAUGCCUUACACAUAGCAAGUCGAACGGCAGGCACGGGGGCAACCUGGUGGCGAGUGGCGAACGGGUGAGUAAUGCAUCGGAACGUGCCAUUGAGUGGGGGUAACGUAGCGAAAGUUACGCUAAUACCGCAUAUUCUGUGAGCAGGAAAGCAGGGGAUCGCAAGACCUUGCGCUCUUUGAGCGGCCGAUGUCAGAUUAGCUAGUUGGUGAGGUAACGGCUUACCAAGGCGACGAUCUGUAGCGGGUCUGAGAGGAUGAUCCGCCACACUGGAACUGAGACACGGUCCAGACUCCUACGGGAGGCAGCAGUGGGGAAUUUUGGACAAUGGGGGCAACCCUGAUCCAGCCAUGCCGCGUGAGUGAAGAAGGCCUUCGGGUUGUAAAGCUCUUUCGGCCGGGAAGAAAUCGCAUGGGUUAAUACCCUGUGUGGAUGACGGUACCGGCAUAAGAAGCACCGGCUAACUACGUG